AGCGAACGCUGGCGGCAGGCCUAACACAUGCAAGUCGAACGAACCUUUCGGGGUUGGUGGCGUACGGGUGAGUAACACGUGGGAACGUGCCAUUAGGUUCGGAAUAACUCAGGGAAACUUGUGCUAAUACCGAAUGUGCCCUUCGGGGGAAAGAUUUAUCGCCUUUAGAGCGGCCCGCGUCUGAUUAGCUAGUUGGUUGAGGUAAUGGCUCACCAAGGCGACGAUCAGUAGCUGGUCUGAGAGGAUGAUCAGCAACAUUGGGACUGAGACACGGCCAAAACUCCUACGGGAGGCAGCAGUGGGGAAUCGUGCGCAAUGGGCGAAAGCCUGACGCAGCCAUGCCGCGUGAAUGAUGAAGGUCUUAGGAUUGUAAAAUUCUUUCACCGGGGACGAUAAUGACGGUACCCGGAGAAGAAGCCCCGGCUAACUUCGUG
rnacentral:rRNA from 1 species